CCUUGUCAUUCUCGGGUCCGGUGUUGCCAUCUGACGACUGGACGGAGAACUGAUAAGGGC
rnacentral:pre_miRNA from 1 species